AUCUUCGGCAAUGGGCGAAAGCCUGACCGAGCGACGCCGCGUGAGCGAUGAAGGCCAUUAGGUUGUAAAGCUCUGUCGAGGAGGAACAAGCCGCAAGGUUGAGUGAUCCCUGGAGGAAGCACGGGCUAAGUUCGUGCCAGCAGCCGCGGUAAGACGAACCGUGCGAACGUUGUUCGGAAUCAUUGGGCUUAAAGGGCGCGUAGGCGGGUGUUCAAGUCCGGGGUGAAAGCCUCCAGCUCAACUGGAGAAGAGCCCCGGAUACUGUUCACCUGGAGAGAGAUAGGGGCACAUGGAACUUCCGGUGGAGCGGUGAAAUGCGUAGAGAUCGGAAGGAACGCCGGUGGCGAAAGCGAUGUGCUGGAUCUUUUCUGACGCUGAGGCGCGAAAGCUAGGGGAGCAAACGGGAUUAGAUACCCCGGUAGUCCUAGCCCUAAACGAUGGGUACUGGGUUGCGGGUCAGACACAGACUCGCAGCCGAAGCAAAAGUGUUAAGUACCCCGCCUGGGGAGUAUGGUCGCAAGGCUGAAACUCAAAGGAA
rnacentral:rRNA from 1 species